UGGGGAAUAUUGGACAAUGGGCGCAAGCCUGAUCCAGCCAUGCCGCGUGAGUGAUGAAGGCCCUAGGGUUGUAAAGCUCUUUCACCGGUGAAGAUAAUGACGGUAACCGGAGAAGAAGCCCCGGCUAACUUCGUGCCAGCAGCCGCGGUAAUACGAAGGGGGCUAGCGUUGUUCGGAUUUACUGGGCGUAAAGCGCACGUAGGCGGACUUUUAAGUCAGGGGUGAAAUCCCGGGGCUCAACCCCGGAACUGCCUUUGAUACUGGAAGUCUUGAGUAUGGUAGAGGUGAGUGGAAUUCCGAGUGUAGAGGUGAAAUUCGUAGAUAUUCGGAGGAACACCAGUGGCGAAGGCGGCUCACUGGACCAUUACUGACGCUGAGGUACGAAAGCGUGGGGAGCAAACAG
rnacentral:rRNA from 1 species